ACGUAGUCUUGCUGCAUCAGAUCUCUCACGAUCACGCUUCGCUUUUUCAUCCUUGUGCCGAUAGUUUGCUUCACUAUUUCAGCCAAACGGUCUUGAUAUUCACAAACUCACGAAUACCAAAUUCGCUCAACUCCCGGCCGUAGCCCGAAUUUUUGAUACCGCCAAAUGGAAGUCUUGGAUCGGAGGCGACCAUAC
rnacentral:misc_RNA from 1 species